CAUGUUCACGGCUACAACGGCGUCGUCACAGACGCCGCGAGGAUAGCAGUCGCUCGAGUUGGCGUUUCUGUUGAGGCAGUCCUGGACGUCGCUCGGGAUCUGGUAGAGGUUUCCAGUGCCAAUGAAGGCGAGUCCUCGCUUGGGAUCGAUGGAAGGACUGUUUCCCCAAACUGUAACGCCGUAGAACCGGAAUUUUCAGGAGCCAUGUAAGUUCUCCAUAUUCGUUUUCCAGUUUUGAGGUCGAGUUUCUGAAAGCUUCCUUGGAAUGUGCAACAGGCUGCCUUUACAAGCUCUUGGAGCGAAGACAUACCAACGUAGAAAGCUCUGCCAGUAUGAUAGGUUCUCAAGAGCAGAAAAAAAGAAAAGAAAUGAAGUUUGCUUACCCGUCGUAUGCUGUUCCUGACAUGGUGAUCCUUGCCAGGGGCGUUUCAUCCAGAUCUUCUGACAUCCACACCAUUCUUCCAUUCUUACGGUGUAAAGCAACACCUCUAGCGGGACCGAGCAAACCAUACAGCAAGAGCUCUUCAGUCACAGCCGGUAUCGUCCGCGACAAAGUGGCAACUCCCGUGAUUUCUGUCAAGUUCGUGCUCCAGAGAAGUUCUCCGUGGAUGGUAACUGCGAAGACAAGCCCGUUCCACGAUGGGAAGUAGACAACACAGUCGUAAAUCGCUGGUGUGGCCGAAAUGUCCGCGCCAGCGUCAAAGCUCCACUUUUCGCUUAAGUGAGGCGCGCUCCAGACGCUGAUCAAGUGCUCAUCUUCUGCAAAGCGACGAUUCUUGAGAUCUCCUCCGUGGCUGAUCCAUUCGCCCGUCUGGAAAAAAAAAUGUCAAGGCAAGCUUAUUUUCCUUUGUUUUGCUCUUUGUUGGACUACCUGACAGUUGGAUUCCACCUGCAGCAAAGAUUGUGCCAUCACGAUCAACAAGAAUACGAAAGAGUUCUUCAUGGAGGGGGACUUUGCUCGAGAAAGAAAACUCAAGGCAUGCAAAUGCAGUGUUUCUUUGCUUUUGUAAUAUUUCUUUUUCGCGUGCUUGGUGACUUUUCUUCAUGCCGUGCAACACCCUGUUUGCAACACAAAGACUUUUCACCACACAAAGAGCACUCCCCGCAUUCAAGUGCGGGUAGCGUGCAUUGUUGGUAGGCAAGGGGCUUGUGUUUUCUUCUUUCCUUGGGUUAUUUUCUUGUUCCUUGGUAUCAUAGAUUGGCAUCACUCCCAUGUCAACGAGACCACCAUCUUGAGCAUGGUUCCAGCCUCGGUCGUCCUCUUGUACUGCAAGCUUCUAGGAGGCGGAAGUCUCAAGCCCGCGACACGCUUGCUGGAGAUUCCAUGAAGAAAUCGUUUUUCUUUUUGCGCACUGCCACCUUAUGGUGAUUCAAAAACUAUCUCUACUUACGCCGUUUGAAAGCGGGCCAAGGAUUUGCAAGAUGCUAAAGUUUGAUUGAUUUGUUUGAGAAGAACCAUUGACCAGUUUUCAUCCAUGCCAGGAGGUUCGAAUACCGUGGUACGCAUGGGACUUCAACAAGCAGGUACUUAUUCUUCAAUAGUUUAGAUAGCAUCCCGACGGCGAAUCUCCGACACAGGUUGGAGGCUGGACCCAAGUCUACAAGGGAAUGACAUUUACCACAGUCAGAGGCGCUGGACACAUGGUGCCUGCCACAAAGCCGCAACAUGCUCUUCAAGUUUUCAAGAGCUUCUUGGCAGGAGAAGCAUUGCCCAGCUUCCCAUGAACAAAAGGAAAGAGAGAAAGAAAACAAACACAAACGAACAAGGCAUAGCUACGCGUUCAAGGUUCGCGAAAACUAUUCGUUCUAAUCAGCUUGUCUUUGGAGUUUUCACUUUAGCGUAACAGGGACGGCUGGUGGUCAGCUGAUGGAGUUUUCGGAGAGGUCCAUUUCUACGUACAAGAUAUGAUAAUUUCGAAAUUCUAUUAUUGUUGCCACUGGAGAUAUUUAUCUCUCGCAUUUUCUGCGAGUUUCGACACCGAUGGCCGCAGCACUCGCUCUUUUUAUUCUACUUACUUCAUUCCUUACAGCUCUAGCAGCGGAUCAGUCUCAUCUUGUUUCCAAGCUUCCUGGACAACCUCAAGUUAACUUCAAUCAGUAUGCUGGCCAAGUGACCGUGAAUCCAACCGCAGGGAAGGCACUUUUCUACUGGUUCUAUGAGGCUGAUCACCAAAACAGUUCGCUACAGCUGCCUCUAGCGAUCUGGAUGAACGGAGGUAAGUUUUGUUCUUCAGAGCUCAAAGCUUUAUAGGAUCUCGGAUGCUUUUCAGGCCCAGGAUGUUCUUCGGUCGGAGCUGGAGCCUUGGGAGAAUUGGGACCUUUUAGAACAAAUGAAGCAGGCUCGGGGCUUGUUCUCAAUCCAUACGCAUGGAAUCAAGGUUGUUUUUAUCGUCUUCAGGGCUAAGAGCUAGCUUUGCUUUCGAGCAGUGGUCAACCUUAUAUUCCUCGAGGCUCCCCAUGGCGUUGGAUUCUCGUACUCCAACACAACCGCGGAUUAUAAUCAAUACAGUGAUGAUAUUAUGGGUAUAGAAUAUAUUGCAAAGAAUUGAUUGAUAUACCGAUUUGCCUGCAGCAUCGGAUGUUCUUGUGUUCAUCCUGGAGUGGUUCAAACGCUUUCCAGAGUAUUCAAAGAACGAUUUUUACCUCCUCGGUGAAAGCUACGCUGGUAAAAACAACGUGUUUCAAGCUCUUCACUGUAUGAAUUUGUUCUUGCAGGGCAUUAUGUUCCGACUUUAGCUGCAAAAAUCCUCGACUACAACAAGAAGAAGGCCGGAGCUUUCAUUAACUUCAAAGGAUUUGCUGUAAGGUUUUGCUCGUCCAAAACGUUUCUACUCAUCUGGUGUUUGACGCGCAGCUUGGUAAUCCCUGGUCGGACACAUACUCUGACAACAAAGGCAACACCGAUUUCUUCCACAGUCAUUCGCUAGUCUCCGAUGAGAUCUACAACCAAGUCGUCGCCAACUGCGACUUCGCCAAGGAUCUUUCAAGCGAUGCCAAUCCGCUGUGCAGGUUCGCAGUCAGCGCCAUGUUCAACAGCAUCCAGUACGUUGACACCUACAACGUCUACGCCCCUGCGUGCAACCAGCAAGAUCCCAACGGGACGAUUUUGAGCCAAACGCUGCGAGAAAAUGCUUUCAUGCACACUGAGAUGCUGGCUGCUGCCUACAAUUCAUGCGCUGACACAGUGUCUCCAUAUCUCAACUCCAAGGACGUCCAAACCGCUUUACACGUAGAAUUCAUGCCUGGGAAGUGGUCAUUUUGCAGGUAAAACCUUUUUUCUUUUCUCUCUUUCACAUGCGAUCUAUGUUGUGAUACAGUCGAGCAGCGAAUGAAAACUAUCCGAUAAAGGAGAUCACGAAUUCAAUGCUUCCACUGUAUCGCUCGCUACUGAAAGAGGGUCUCAAGAUCUGGAUUUACAGGUACAAUUUUGACGUUUACUUUCAUGACAAGAGCGCAGUUUUCCCUUUCGCAUGUAGUGGCGAUGUCGAUGGUGUUGUCUCCACGAUCGGGACGAAAGCGUGGAUCAAGAAGCUCAAUCUCACCAUCACGCAGAAGUGGUAUCCUUGGAAGUUCCAAGAUCAGGUACUAAAAUACAAACUUGUUCUAUUUCCUUGUUUCAUUUGAUCAUAGCUAGAUCUUCUUCUAGGUCGGCGGCUGGAGUGAGAAAUACGCGGGGCUAAUGCUUGCCACAGUGAGAGGCGCUGGACAUAUGGUUCCCUUUGACAAACCUGAGCAAGCGUUGCUUUUGUUCCAACAUUUUGUCAAUGGGAGCUCACUCCCAGGCUUUUAAAUGCCCAAGUUGUGAGUGCUUAAGAAUAUAGAAACUGUGUAUAUUAAUUAACUUAAAAACCCUAAUUUAUAUAUAGGAGUGAGUGGUUCGGAUUGAAACCAAUCCAACAUCUACCAAAAUUUCACUAUGCUAAUAUUAAUAUACAAUAUUGUAGCCAUACACUGUCACAUCAUUCCCUCCUCUUGGAAUAAUGAAAGACCAUCAGGGUUCUUUUGUAGAUAUGCCGGGAUCAAGAAGAACAUCAGGAGGAGGCAUUGGCAGAUUUAUAGGUGGUAUUAAUUGUUCAUGAUCUUUUGGUAUGAAGCAUUUCAACCGCUACACACGCACAAUCUCUGGAGGAUUGGCUUGCUGAACGUUAUGCCGAACCUCAUAAACUUGUUGUAAAAUUUGCUACAACACUUAAUAUGGUUCUUUCCACUGAGUAAGGAGCCCUUUAUAUAAACCACAUACCGUAAGAUUGGGAAAACGGACUAAUACUAAGUCAUCCACUUUGUACUCCACAGGUGGAUGAUGAUGGGAGUUGUACUGCUGUUGUUGUCCCACUUGUACGUAGCUUAAGGGUUCAGCAAAUUCUGCUUGGACCAGUGGAAGAAUGUUUGUCAAAUACUGAUCCCACGACCUAGCAUCGGCAGCUCGUGACAACGUGAAGGUAAACCUAGCUCCAUUGGUAAUAUUGGAUCAUGGCUAUAUAAAAGUUUAUAUGGUGAAGCACCAACAGAACUCUACACCCUUGUGGCAUAUGUAUACCGAAGAGAUAGCACAAUCCGAAUGUUGAAAGUUCACAUACUUCGCGAUCAUCCUUUUGAACGUCAAAACAAACCAUUCCACCAAACCAUUUGAUUGUGGAUAAUAAACACUUGUGAAAGUGUGGCAUAUCCCCAACCGAGAUGUCAAAACAUGAAAUGCCUCAGCCAUAAAUGAGGAACCAUUGUCCAAAAGAAUUUGUUCUGGACAAGAAUGCUGGAACACCAUUUGAUUGAAGAGGAAGUAUCCAAUAGUAAUUGCAGAGGUGUUAGCAAGAGCACCAACUUCCACCCAACGAGUCAAGUAGUCAGAAGCAAUAAUAACAUAUUUAUUGCUAACAGUUGAUCAUGGAAGAGAUCCCAUAAAAUCAAACGUCACCAACUCAAACAAACGAGAAACUGCAAUUGACUCUAACCAUCCUUCUGUAGCACGAGGGGGAGUAUUAUAAGUUUGGCACCAAAUGCAACUAUGCACAUACUGGAUAAUAUCUUGUCGCAUCUCUGGCCAAUAAAAAGACCUGUGUAGUUUCUUGAUCACACAAUAAUGUCCCAUAUGCCCACUUACAAUAGGAGAAUUAUGGUAGGCAUGGAGAAACCGUGGAAUAACGACAGAAGGCACCACUAGCCGUAAAGGAUCAUUAGGAUUUGUCCCCACAAAAUAAAGAAGGCCAUCUUCAAGGCGAUAUUGAGAAUGUAAAUGCCAGAAUGGUAAGUCAUUAGCAAGUGAUGCAGGAUUCUCAAACCUAUCUCGAAGCCUUCGAAUCCAUAGCUCAAGCUUUUAAGCCUCGCAAACCUCCUCAAGAGAAGGUAGAUCUUGCUCUACACUUUGUGGACAUUGAACGUUAAGUAUAGCAACACAGAAUCCUUGUCUAGAAAAUCCACAGAUGCUGGAAUAACAGGCUCAUCAGAAAUAUGAGAAGAGAGUGGAAAACGAAGAGGAGCUCGAGAAAGGGCAUCAGCAUUGGCCAUAAAACUCCCAGGGUGAUAAACAACAUCAAAAUCAUAUAUAUGAAGCUUUAAAACCCACUGAGCAGUACGACCAACAAGGUUUUUUUGCUUUAAUAAUGAAGUAGUGUUUAGCAGCAGUCUAGGGUUUCGAGAAACUUCAUGUAUAUCUACAUGGUUCUCAAAUGUUACUUGAAGGUGAUCAUGCUGCCCCUUCUCUGUCAUGGAGUAGUUCACUUCCGCUAGUUGUAAUGUAUGGCUUAUAUACGUAAUGGAAUGGUGUUGACCAACACUUGGGCUCUUUUGCAUCAACACACCUCCAAGACUAAUAUCAGAAACAUUCAUGCACAAAAUAAAGGUUGAGUGUAGUCAGGAUAUGCCAAAACCGGAGGAGUCGUCAAGAGCUCUUUGAGAUCCACAAAUGCCCUCUCACAAUCUAAAAACCAGAUGAAAGAUGAUGUUGAUGACUGUUGAUGACUUCAGCAACGCUUACAACGGUGCAAUGUGAUCAAAAUGAUGAUCCACAAAAUGAUCGAGAUAUUACACCUUGCCCAGGAAUUGCUACACAUUAUUCACACACUUCGAAGUAGGGGACUUUAGAACAGCCACAAGUUUGUUAGGAUCAACUUGGAAACCCUCACAAAAAAUACGGUACUCAAAAUAAGUCAUGUUCUUGGAUCCAAACAUGCACUUUGACCACUUUAACUUCAAACCAACGUCCCGUAACUGACCCAAUACUUUAAAAACAUCACGAACAUGCUCCUCCCAUAUCCCCUCCGAGUGGAUUAAGACAUCAUCAAUGAAGUCAGCAAUCACCUCUGGCAUAUUAUAAAGAACCUCGUCUAUCAUUCGCUGGAAAGUUAUUAAAGUAUUGUUCAAACCAAAUGGUAUUACCAAGAACUUGUACAAACCAAUAGUGUAUGAAAAGUUGUCUUAGGAAUACUUUCUUCAGCCAUCAGUACUUGCCAGUACCUAGAAGCAAGAUCUAGCUUGGUGAACCAACGACUUCGCCCUAGACAAUCCAAGAGAUCAGCAGAGAAGAGGGUAUACAUCCGGGAUUGUCACUUCGUUUAACGAACGAUAGUCAAUGCAGAAAUGAAUACUCCCAUUAGACUUCGUCACAAGAUGAGGUUCACAUGCCCAAGGAUUUCGCAACUUCCGAAUAACACCCUUCUCCAACAUCUCCUUAACAUUUGCAUGUAAAAUCUUGAUCUCUUUAGGUGACCGACGAUGAACAAAAACCUUGAUUAGACGAGUAUCCCCAGUUGGAAUCGGAUGACGUGUGGCAAUCUUGGCCCCAGAUGAUAAGUCAAAUUGAAAAAGAUCAGAAUACUCCUCCCAUAAGCUGGUCAAUUGCUGCAGCAUAAAGAUUGUCGGAGGUAUCGGAAAAGGGAGAGCAGAACAAGAUGGAAACAUAGGAGGAAAUAGUGGGGGGACAAAAGUAAUGGAAGCAAAGGUAAAAGUAAAGGGACAAAGAGGUACGGAAGUGAGAGGAAUAAAUAAAAUAUAAGGAAGUAUGAGAUAAGGGGGAAAAGCCUCAAAGUCACAUUUGGCAUGAUUGCGCUGCAACCAAUCCAUACUAAGGAUUAAGUUAAAAGCUUGACUCGACCGCAAUGACUACAACCCAUGCUCGAAAUCGCCCACACGCACAACCAAGUCUACCUUAUCCCGUGCACAUGUAUGUGUAUGGCUAUUGCCAUAAAGAAUGAAAACUAGUUCCACCGCACAAUGUAAGUGUAGACAGCAACGUGUGAACAACAGGUCGAGCAAUAGAAGAUCAACUCGAAUCUGUAUCAACUAACACGAAGAGAAUAAUAGGAGACUUCUUGUUAUAAAAAUGAGUUUGGAAAGUAAAUAUUAAAUAAACUAAUACCGAGUGAACCCCAUGAUAAUACUCUUGAAAGAAAUAUGGAAGGGUCACUGACUUAUUCGCGCAAGGUCUCUCCGUUACUCGUGCGACUUCUCGUUUCCCAGAUGCAUCUCGGUGUCCAGACCUUCUACUAUAGUAACACCAACAGGAUGUUGUUGAUACCAAGGUCUCCACCCAAGAAAUGGAGGUCGCCAAUCUGGAAAAUGCCGACAAUACCGAUAAGUGUGACCAACUUCAUCACAUGCCUAACAAUGAAUGUCACGGCCAUGACCACGUCCUCGUCCUUGUCCUUGGACUCGAGCAACAACAACAUUAACCUCCAUGGGAACAGGACCAUUGCCUAUAGGAAGUGGAGUGGAAGGACAUUUAGCGAGAAGUGGAAGAGGCGAUAUCUCAUAAUGUUGUGCCAAACAAAGAACAUCGUCAAGGGUGGCUAGAGCAAGUGCAUGCAUAAAUCUGACAAGAUUUUAAUGAAGUGCUGGCCAUAACAUUCCUAACUUGAUCCGCUCUGACAAUUUGGCUCUGCAAGAAAUAAGAGGCUUCGGAAAUGAACACCAAAUUGGAUCACCAACUCAGAUGGCCUUUGACGCAGUGUGAGACACAAAAUCCCUAGGCCCCAAAGUGGAGCCGGAAAGGGUGCCACAUGGUAGUGGCCGAGGCGAAAGCUAAACGAGCAUAACACGUUUGGACUAAAAGCUCCAACUUGGAAGAUCGAGAGCGGGAGUGGAACUCCCAACAAAGUGCUCGAGGAGCAAGCACGAGGCAACCAAUAAGCAAGGCUCCAAAAAGGGACCCAAAAAGGACCAACACAUGACACGUGGAAGUGUCCGAGAUGGAGUCCGAGGCGGACCCGAGUUGGAGUCCGAGAUGGACCCGAAGUGGAGUCCAAGAUGGACUCGAAGUGGAGUCCGAUAUGGAGUCCGAAGUGGAGUCUGAGAUGGAGUCUGAUAUGGAGUCCGAGAUGGACCCAAAGUGGAGUCCGAUAUGGAGUCCGAAGUGGAGUCCGAGAUGGAGUCCGAUAUGGAGUCCGAGAUGGACCCGAAGUGGAGUCCGAGAUGGAGUCCGAUAUGGAGUCCGAGAUGGACCCGAAGUGGAGUCCGAUAUGGAGUCCGAGAUGGACCCGAAGUGGAGUCUGAUAUGGAGUCCGAUAUGGAGUCCGAGAUGGACCCGAAGUGGAGUCCGAUGUGGAGUCCGAGAUGGACCCGAGAUGGAGUCCGAGAUGGACCCGAGAUGGACCCGAGAUGGAGUCCGAGAUGGAGUCUGAGAUGGAACCGAGACCGGGACCGAGACUGAGACCGAGACCGAGUCCGAGUCCGAGUCCGAAUCCGGGACCGAGACCAAGUCCGAGUCCGAGUCCGAGUCCGAGUCCGAAUACUAAUACAGGCAGUUGGGUGAAAGCCCAAAGCGAUCGUCCCCCAGGGGGGGGGCUGCAGGGGGGUUCCAAAAGUAUAGUAGGGAGAGUGUGGGGAUUGGAGCCCAGUGGAGCCAAUUUGGCCAGGAAAGGCCAGUUUGGCCCAGGAAGGCCAGACCCAGUGUUGGGUGAUGAGCUGACCACUGGGAAGUCCAAGACUAGAGUGAACACGGACCGACAAGCGGGGUAGCUUGGUGAAGUGUUCAAGAGCCGGCUCUAGUUCCCCCGGGAGAUCGACUGGCCGAUGCUCCCAGUCCAAGUGUGGGUGGCACUACCUACUUGGAUACCAGGCAUGGCUCAACGGAACCUCGCUCUAAGCCCAUGGCUAGAGCACCCAAGGGCGGAAGGCGGGGAGAGUACCCAGGUGGCUCGCGUAAGGCCACGGUGUUCCGAAAGGUUGUCCCAAAGGCCCAGACUGUGGAAAGGAAGAGGAGCAGUCCUCUGGGGUAGUAACCAAGGACACAGUCGUAUGGUGAGGAAGUCCCAGAGGACCGUGGGACUUAGUGGUCGGGCCUGUGGGCCUCGAUCCAGUGGCAGUGUUGGCAAACAUGGCCAAGGGCCGAAAGGGACUUAGUGGGGACUGACAGAGGGACAUUGGGGAAGGCUAUUCCCCUUGUCGGUGGGCAUCCUAAGGAUGCUAAGGAGUGGAUCUAAGAUGACCACUCACGGAUGGUUUCCCUAGUCUUGAAGAGCCAAGAAUGUGAUGCAAGUGGUAUGGACUACCAGUGUGGCAAAGGUGAUUGGGCAUGGCCUUAGCGUAACAAGCUGCCAUGUUGGUGGUACCUUUGAGUGUCGGUCAUGGGAUCGGACACGUGGAGCACUUGGACCAAGUGCAAAUGUUGAGUGGCAUGGAUGCCAUUCUCGGGGCUAGCAAGUCCCAAGUCCUGAAUUGGACUUAUGGAGGUUGUGAAUGAGACUCCUCCAAGUGGUCGGAGGUGUGGUUAAGUGACUGAAGUAGAAUGGAAAAUUUAGUCGCUUACAAUUUGGUAUCGGAGUUGUUCCUCAGUCCGACUUUUAUUGGUGCUCAAGUAUAUCACCAUUGAUAUUGGCAUUGGAAGGUCUUAGAAGUGGGCUUAUCCUUGAGGAGUAGCAUGCCGAGAGGACAUGGCUCUCCACUCAAGUUCAUGCGUGACUUGGGCGUGAUGUGGUGGAUAGAAAAGGGGCCGGUAAGGGAACGCCUUUGGGAUCUUGGGAACAGUAAAUGGUUUUCCUCAGAGAGUUGAGGAUGUGAUCCAGAUGAGCAUUUGACUCAAUAAAUGGCCAAUGUAGUUGUGGUAAACAACUAAAGUUGGGAUCACAGGAAAGAUAAAGACUCCAAAGCAAUAAGGGAGUCACAAGAUUAUCGUCAUAUAGUUGAGGUUGGUGCUCAUGAAUGUAAGACCAGAAGUGAUGACCGUGGGAGGUCAAAUACGGAAGAGGACUCAAGUCCUUGAAAUGGUAGCCGGGGCUACCUUUAAUAAAUGCUGGAACAACCCAAGGAGUUGGGGGGUGUACUUAGAGAUGAGUUGGUAUUCUCAUCACAUGGACAAGUAGUCCUAAGGGGCAGAGGUGCACCCAGACAACAAAAACAAGUGUCAGAGUAACANNNNNNNNNNNNNNNNNNNNNNNNNNNNNNNNNNNNNNNNNNNNNNNNNNNNNNNNNNNNNNNNNNNNNNNNNNNNNNNNNNNNNNNNNNNNNNNNNNNNNNNNNNNNNNNNNNNNNNNNNNNNNNNNNNNNNNNNNNNNNNNNNNNNNNNNNNNNNNNNNNNNNNNNNNNNNNNNNNNNNNNNNNNNNNNNNNGAAGGAUGGGGGGGGGGAUCAUAGGAUCCAAGGAUGAGAACAGAGGGUAUCUCAUCGAUGGCAAAAUGUGCCAUGCUAAAGUCGUAGGAAAUGUGUUCCCAAAAAGAAAACAACUUUAACAUAAAGUUGUGUGUGACCUCUAUGGUGUAGUGCUAAUAGAUGGUUGGCAUGAGAAAGAGUGGUAUUGGUCUUGGCAAAGACUUAGACAAAAAGAAGAAGUGUCAUAGAGGUAAGCUCGUGAAGUCGAUGGUGUGGAGACACCAAAUGUGCCAAGGUGUGAUACCUUGAGGCUAUGUUGGUGGGUUCAUGAGAACCCCUUGCCAAAGGAAUCCCAAUAGAAAUGGGAAUGGCAUAGCCUAAGCUGCAGAGCAUGCAGUUGGAGUGUGGUGACCCAGAUAAUGAUGAAGAUGUGGAAGCACUAGCAAUGAGUUGUAGGACUUGACAACUAUGAGGCAACUAAGCAAGAGGUGCAAAAUAAUUGGUUAAAUGGGUAGAAGGUAGCUACCCAAGCUUUUUUAAUGGCAUAGGAAAGUUGGACGUACCCUUACGGGGGAUAAGUUGCUUAUGUUGCGAUAUAGUAAGUCAAUGUCAUAAAAGGAAAUACUCAUUAUCAAGGAAGCCAUCAUUGGGACACCCGAACACUCUAGAACACUAGGAGGUAGUGUUUGAUGUCGCGAGGGUAAUAAAUAAGGCCUAAGGGACUAAGUCCCUAGCGAAUGAUGGAUAGAAGGUGCUAUCCAAGUGUCCAAAGGUGGCGGAGACAGGAGAAGACUGUCUACUCAAAUUGGACAAAGCCAAAAAGGGAAUUUUGGCAAGGCUAGUGAUGGGCAUGUAAAGGCCCAUAAGCAACAACGUAAUCUCGUUGUGUGGGAUUAUAAGGUGAGCAUACUUGGAUUGAGGAACCACUCCCUAGGCUAUCGGGUAGGUUCAUCCCUAAGAAUACUUGCUAAGGCAUGAUAGAAAGUGCAAAGCUAUCCUCCUGGUCCGGAGGAGAAUGACCGAAGGAAAUGUGUGAAGCCAAAAGCAAGAAGUAAGGGGAUAGAACCGAACCAUAGGAAUCGAAGGGCAUAACCAAGGUUGGUUAUGCCAGCUGGGAGUGGAGAAUUAAGUGGGGGCUCAAGGGUGUUGCCGCUAGCAAUCGUGAUGCCAUGGAGAGUCUAAAAUAUGGAAUUGUCCAUGUUAGACUAUAUGGUAAUUGGAAAGCUUGCAAAAAGGGAGGCCUUAGCAAGCUAAGGGACAGAGUUCCUUCAAGGUUCCCAAAGAUGAUUCUAGGUAGCUUAAUACCUAGAAAGGCCAAGCGUAAAUGGUUCAAGGAACGCGCGAAAUUAGAGUGGCGCAGCAGAAGCGUGGUCUUGAAGCUUGCCAUGAGGCAAGGCUAUCAAGGUUAGGGAAGUAGUUCCCGAGUGUUCAAAGAGAGGGCUUUGAACGAAAGUCGAUGACAAAGGGCUUUCACACUUGUGCAGGAACCAUGUUACGGUGGUCGGAGGACUUACCAAAGCGAGAUUGGCAAGUCAGGGGAACAAAUGCCCUAGUUUAAGGUGAUAACUUCAAAAAGGGUGGGCCAUGGGGCGAAGCAUGGAGGAGUUCAUGCAUGAUCACAGACUUGUCAAGUGAGAGGACUUGGCAGUGUGGAGGAACUAGGUUCCUAAGCUGUGAUCUAUAGCGCGCUUUGAGUAUAAAUUGGUGCACCGGCGUGAGGAGUCACGCCAGGCAUCCUGGGUGAUGCCGUCCGUAGAUGCAUAUACGGAGGUUGGGUUCGAGUCCCGACCCUCUAGUGCUUGGGUUCGAGUCCCAACUCACUAGGGCGUGGUGAUGGUUUGGAAUAUGAGGACACUCAUUUUUCGGUGGUCAUGGACUCUCAGUGUGGAGACUGGCUUGGGCACACUGCCAAGCGAGGGAUGCCUCGGAGUCGUGAUGCACGGUUAGAUUACUUAAUGUGGCUUAGCAUAUCUAACUUGAACACUUUGGUGCAAGUGGCACUAAGGACGUGGUGAAUGAGAUGGGGACACCCAGUCUCAGUUGCUAUGGACCCUUGGCCGGAAGGGCUGGUUUGGGCGCACCGCCAAGUGUGGGGGAUGCCCUCGGGGUCGUAGUUAACAAGUUAAAGGUCUGGAAAACCUAAUGCCUAUUGGCAAACCUGUUAAGGUGUCGAGGUGAGAUCACUAGGUGAUCUUGUGGAUAAAUAAGGACAAGGUCCUUGUUUGGGUUAAGGAAUGAGGUUCCUAGUUCAAAGUGUUGAUUUGAACUAUUGAUGAUGGUGUGGCUUGGUCAAGGUGACCAAGUGGGAAAAGCACUUUAAGGAAAUGAGUUAUGUCAUUGCGAUGGCAUAGUGUGUCCAAGGAAAGUAGUCUCUAAAGAGACCCAUGGGAGGGUCACAAAGUUGGGCCGUGGAUAGAGCCCACAGCAGAAGAUGCUAAAGAGACUUACUAGGGGUGAACACCCUAGUCUUGGCAAAGCAGAGCCUUUGCUAUGGAAUCAAAAGAAUACCUCAAGGAGGGGGGUAGAGAUUCAAUGUUGCUUGGUGCAACAAUCAACGGAUAGGAGCAAAAGAUGAGUGGCUAAGAUAGGGCCGUGGAAUCCAUUGGAAGGAAUCCAAGUGGCAAAGUUAGGCGAGAAACACUAAUGUGUUGGACGCUAACGAAUUGCGGGAAAGGAAGUGUGUUUCCAAGGAUGGAUUCCGAAUUGCUCCGAUUUGGCGAAAGGGGAAGCUCCAAGAGAGGGAGCGGUAAGGUAGCCAAAUGAUAGGGCCAUGAACAGCCCUAGCACAAAGUAUGAUAACUGGAACUUAAUGCCCCAGGGUGGCACGAAAUAGAAGAGAGGAUGAUGGUGCCCUCAAGUAGAGAACUUCCUAGGAUGGGAAGUGGAAUUGCACAAAAGGUGCAAGGCAAGGUGUCGGAAACACCUAAGAAAUUGACUCCAAGAAGUCAAAAUUCAAAGUUCCAAAGUGCAAAGGUUAUAUCGAUGGGAACUGAGACCACUCGAGAAUGAGUAGUGGGAAUUGAGUUAAAGAAGAUGUCUCUAACAUGUUUAGUAAGAACUGAACCAAUAAAAGGGAGCAAACCACCCCAAGUGGUCGAAUAAGUCUCUAUGUUGGAAAGACUAUGCUCCUUAGAGGAUGGGCAAGGCAUAAUGAGCCUUUGGUGUCAAACCAUUGACGAAUAUGGAGAAGGCAUGGUGAGCCUUCAAUAUCAAACUAUUGACAAAUAUUAGCUAGGUGCCAAGGAUGGAAAUGAUAACACAUGCGGGUGUUACUUUAUAAAAUAGUUUAUCGUUCGAUGAGGACAUCGAACUUUGUCUAUGGGUGGUAGAGUUGUGAGACACAAAAUCCCUAGGCCCCAAAGUGGAGCCGGAAAAGGUGCCACAUGGUAGUGGCCGAGGCGAAAGCCAAACGAGCAUAACACGUUUGGACUAAAAGCUCCGACUUGGAAGAUCGAGAGCGGGAGUGGAACUCCCAACAAAGUGCUCGAGGAGCAAGCACGAGGCAACCAAUAAGCAAGGCUCCAAAAAGGGACCCAAAAAGGACCAACACAUGACACGUGGAAGUGUCCGAGAUGGAGUCUGAGGCGGACCCGAGUUGGAGUCCGAGAUGGACCCGAAGUGGAGUCCGAGAUGGACUCGAAGUGGAGUCCGAUAUGGAGUCCGAUAUGGAGUCCGAAGUGGAGUCCGAAGUGGAGUCCGAGAUGGAGUUUGAUCUAGAGUCCGAGAUGGACCCGAAGUGGAGUCCGAUAUGGAAUCCGAUAUGGAGUCCGAAGUGGAGUCCGAGAUGGAGUCCGAUAUGGAGUCCGAGAUGGACCCGAAGUGGAGUCCGAUAUGGAGUCCGAUAUGGAGUCCGAGAUGAACCCGAAGUGGAGUCUGAUAUGGAGUCCGAUAUGGAGUUCGAGAUGGACCCGAAGUGGAGUCCGAUGUGGAGUCCGAGAUGGACCCGAGAUGGAGUCCGAGAUGGACCCGAGAUGGAGUCCGAGAUGGAACCGAGACCGGGACCGAGACUGAGACCGAGACCGAGACCGAGUCCGAGAUGGAACCGAGACCGGGACCGAGACUGAGACCGAGACCGAGACCGAGUCCGAGUCCGAAUCCGGGACCGAGACCGAGUCUGAGUCCGAGUCCGAGUUCGAAUACUAAUACAGGCAGUUGGGUGAAAGCCCAAAGCGAUCGUCCCCUAGGGGGGGGGGGGCGCUGCGGGGGGGUUCCAAAAGUAUAGUAGGGAGAGUGUGGGGGUUGGAGCCCAGUGGAGCCAGUUUGGCCAGGAAAGGCCAGUUUGGCCCAGGAAGGCCAGACCCAGUGUUGGGUGAUGAGCUGACCACUGGGAAGUCCAAGACUAGAGUGAACACGGACCGACAAGCGGGGUAGCUUGGUGAAGUGUUCAAGAGCCGGCUCUAGUUCCCCCAGGAGAUCGACUGGCCGAUGCUCCCAAUCCAAGUGUGGGUGGCACUACCUACUUGGAUACCAGGCGUGGCUCAACGGAACCUCGCUCUAAGCCCAUGGCUAGAGCACCCAAGGGCAGAAGGCGGGGAGAGUACCCAGGUGGCUCGCGUAAGGCCACGGUGUUCCGAAAGGUUGUCCCAAAGGCCCAGACUGUGGAAAGGAAGAGGAGCAGUCCUCUGGGGUAGUGACCAAGGACACAGUCGUAUGGUGAGGAAGUCCCAGAGGACCGUGGGAUUUAGUGGUCGGGCCUGUGGGCCUUGAUCCAGUGGCAGUGUUGGCAAACACGGCCAAGGGCCGAAAGGGACUUAGUGGGGACUAACAAAGGGACAUUGGGGAAGGCUAUUCCCCUUGUCGGUGGGCAUCCUAAGGAUGCUAAGGAGUGGAUCUAAGAUGACCACUCACGGAUGGUUUCCCUAGUCUUGAAGAGCCAAGACUGUGAUGCAAGUGGUAUGGACUACUAGUGUGGCAAAGGUGAUUAGGCAUGGCCUUAGCGUAACAAACUGCCAUGUUGGUGGUACCUUUGAGUGUCGGUCAUGGGAUCGGACACGUGGAGCACUUGGACCAAGUGCAAAUGUUGAGUGGCAUGGAUGCCAUUCUCGGGGCUAGCAAGUCCCAAGUCCUGAAUUGGACUUAUGGAGGUUGUGAAUGAGACUCCUCCAAGUGGUCGGAGGUGUGGUUAAGUGACUGAAGUAGAAUGGAAAAUUUAGUCGCUUACACGCAGACGAUGCAAUUGUUGGAAGGCAUCAUCACAAUCGUUAGCAUGUCCAAAUGCACGUUUGAAGACGUUCGGAAGAACACUCAAAUCCCCAUGAGUGGCUGCACUCAAACCAUUAUACCACUACAAUGCCAUCCCUUGGAAACACGUGGGAAACUCAUGCAAAUGUUGAUUAUCAUCCCAAGAAUGAUAUGUGGUAAUCAUUAUGAAGUGAUCGAACCAAUGGUACACAUCAUCCCCAGGAUUCUCAUGAAAGAACUUUGGCCGAAUGCAAGGAUUGACACCAAGACCAAGAAUAGUUGUACCACAUGCUGUCAAUGCUACCAUUAAUUAAGUUUGGUUGUUCAAUUGCAAAUGCAUAAUAUUAAGCAAUUGUACCAAUUGUUACUCUAAAGUUAAAAAAGGAGAUUAUUGAUUUGCCAUGAAGAUGAAUGAAAAGAAAAGAGCAAAAGAAGAGAAAUGACAAAAAUCUAUAAGGAAAGGGAGAUCUAGACAAUGAAAAAUGCUAGAUCUAAACCAAAAUCCUAAAAGGAAAAAACAAAAGAAAGGAAAUGGAAAAAACUAAAUUUAAAUAUGCAAAAGUUAGAUUUAAAUUAAAAUUUUAAAUCCAAGCACUUUUGAGGGACAAUCAAAAAGUGCCCUCAUCUCCACCAAUGUAAGUGCAUGAAUAUAGAAAGGGAAUACAAAAAAUUGUGCAUAUCAAUUAGCCCAAAAACCCAAGUUUAUAUACAGGAGCGAAUAAUCCAAAUUGAAAUCAAUUCAACAAUUACUAAAAUCCCACUAAUAUUAAUAUAUAAUAUCGUAGUUGUACACUUGGCCCUCACAAGGCAAAAUUUUCAACGUUCUGAGACUCCACUCCAUUCUAAAAAUUUUGCUCCAAUAGAUCUAGCCUCCAACAUGGCAUGGUGGGCACUGUCACGUCUAGUAUUUUAGUAUCAUCCUCAUCCACUUGUUAACCUUUAGCGGACAUGUCCUUAGCUUCCUCGAGACAAUGCCUGCGUUUUCACUGGCACUGUGAGGUGAUUUUAUAUUUCUUCCUUCCUUGCUUCUAGGGCUUUGUUUCUGGGAGCGAGAGCGAGAGAGGAGGCAAGAGGCGAUGCCUGGAGCGCCUGGUGAUGUCGCCGAGCUUCCUCCGCGCCUGGCGAUCAUGCUGUUUAGGAAUCGAGUCCUGCUCCCGGGAGCUGUGGUGCGCAUCCGAUGCACGUCGCCGACCAAGUAAGCGCUUCUUAGGCCAUCGCGUAGAAUUUGGGAGCUAAAAUGCGGGCGGUUUGAUCGUUUUAUUCCCAGCGUUAGGCUGGUCGAGCAGGAGCUGUGGCAGAAGGAAGACAGGGGAUUGAUUGGAGUUUUGCCUGUCAGGGAUUUGCAGCAGUCCGAUCCGGCGUCUCCGCCUCCGCCUCCGCCGCCACAACAGCAGCAGCCUCCCCCGACUCAAGGCAAGUAAAAUGCCAAGAACUGUUUUGGGAGUUACCUGUGUGUUGAUUGUAUCUCCAGGCGAUCGAGGUGGAACUGCGCUUCCAGAUUUCCAGCAGUGCCUGGGAAAGCAAAAUCAAGAGCUCGUGCAAUGGCAUCCCCGGUAAAAAUUCCAGAUGUUUCCUGAUGGGUCACGUAAGAAUUUUUGUAGGGGUGUAGCAGCCCGAGCUUUGCAUCUCUCUCGUGGCAUGGAAAAACCAAGUGGUCGGGUUACGUACACCGUCGUUUUAGAAGGCUGGUGUAGGUUCAGUCUCAAGGACAUGAAUGCUCGGGGAUAAUACAACACUGCUCGCAUUGGUCAGCUCGAUAUGACAAAAGCAGGUAGCUGAUGAGGCGCAGCUGUUUUACUGCUUUGGUUUUUUUCUUGUAGAGAUGGAGCAGGCGGAAAAAGAUCCAGAGGUGCAACUUCUGGGACGACAGUUCAAAGUUGUUGCUAGCGAAUUGAUCUCUGCUUUGGAGCAGGUAUUCUAUCGGUACAUGUUCUCGAGUUGCUGAUUGUUUGACGUCGUAGAAGCAAAGAACUGUGGGCCGCACGAAAAUAUUACUCGAGACAACCUCUGCCCACAGGCUUGCGGACAUCUUUGUUGCAAAUUUUGAGAACAACUUUGAAGACCGGCUAGCUAUGCUAGACGGCGUCGACUUAAAACAGCGACUUGUCAAAGCGACUGAAAUCAUAACGCGCCAUCUUCAGGUUCGUGCUGACUUUCGAGUUAAGCAUCCAAUUUAAACUCGUGUACUGUCUCUAGACAAUCAAGGUAGCCGAAAAGAUAUCCCAGAAAGUGGAAGGAAAUCUCUCGAAGUCUCAAAAAGAGUUUCUUUUACGUCAACAGGUACUGUAUUUCUUAUGAUCCGCAAGUUCGCUUUGUCCCUCAUGCCGCUUUACAGAUGAAAGCGAUCAAAGAGGAGCUCGGUGAUAACGAUGAGGACGAAGAUGAUGUGGUUGCUUUGGAGAAAAAGAUGCAGAAUGUGGGAAUGCCGGCAAACGUAUGGAAGCACACACAGAGAGAGCUGAGGUAAGAUAUAAUUGUGUGUCUAUUUUCAGCUGAAAUCUUGCUGCUUGCCAUUUCAUAGGAGGUUGAGGAAAAUGCAGCCUCAACAGCCAGGUUAUGGAAGCUCAAGAGCUUAUUUGGAACUCCUUGCUGAAUUAUUAUGGCAGAUAAGUAGCGAAGAACGUGAACUAGAUCUUGUUGCAGCAAAGGAACGGUUGGAUAGCGAGCAUUAUGGGCUGGGAAAAGUCAAGAAGCGGAUUAUUGAGUAUUUGGCUGUACGAAAAGUAUGUAAGCUUUCUUCAAUCCAAUCUUCUUUCCUUUCUAACUAAUAUUUUUUACAGUUAAAACCCGACGCGAGGGGCCCUGUCCUCUGCUUCGUAGGUCCUCCGGGUGUAGGAAAAACAUCCUUGGCGUCUUCAAUUGCUGGAGCUUUGGGAAGGCUUUUUAUCCGCAUUUCAUUGGGCGGAGUGAAGGAUGAAGCAGACAUACGAGGUCAUCGUAGAACAUAUAUAGGAAGCAUGCCGGGUCGACUGAUCGAAGGCAUUAAGGUAUGGAUUGUUUAAGUUUUUUAUUCCUGAUGUUUUCAUCGUAUUGCCAGCGAGUGGGAGUCAACAAUCCGGUCAUGCUUCUGGACGAGAUUGAUAAAACAGGUACGGAUGUCCGUGGUGAUCCGGCAUCUGCUUUACUGGAGGUCUUAGAUCCGGAGCAGAAUAGGACGUUCAAUGAUCAGUACGUAUAGUACCUUCGCUUUGGUCAUGCUUUUAACUUGUUUCUUUGCAGUUACCUCACCACCUAAGUUUGAUGGCAAAGAAGCGGCUGAAAGAGUGUCCACUCCCGGUGUGGCCGUGGGCCUUGUCUGGACGGCCGUUGGUGGUAAAGUUCAUUUUGUCGAGGCCACGGCCAUGACAGAGAAGGGAGGGAAGGCUGGGAGAUGUUAAAGAAUCUGCUCAGAUUGCUCUCACAUGGGUAUGUUUACAAAAAACUUUCGCUUGUAUUCAAUUGUUGAAACAGGUGAGAGCACGAGCUGCCGAGUUGAAGCUUGCAACUGGUGCGGAAAGAAGUUUAAUGGAUAGUCGAGAUAUUCAUAUCCACUUUCCAGCAGGUGCUGUGCCGAAGGACGGGCCCUCCGCCGGUGUUACGCUUGUUACGGCCUUGGUGUCUUUCCUAGGGAAGAGAUGCGUGCGUGCUGACACCGCAAUGACUGGUGAAAUGACACUACGUGGUCUCGUGUUACCAGUAGGAGGAGUGAAGGAUAAGGUAAGCUUUCAGUAACUAACGAGUGUUUCCUCGCAGAUAUUAGCUGCUCAUAGGUUCGGCAUCAAACGUGUGAUACUUGGAGCCGGGAGUUCCUCCAAACGCAGGAGCCAGUGGAGCCCGUGAGUAUCCCGUUCCAAUAUGCCCGACUGAGGGUCCUCCGUAAACCGUCGAACCAGUGGUACGUUCCCACAGUAUACGUCCACUCUCUGCGUCCAGUGCGAGAACAUGACCAUCCUUGUCGAAUGAUCCGCAGAAGACCACACCGUUGGCGACAGUCACAGGCCCGUAUGCUCGCGCACUGUGUGGAUUCGCAGUGGACCAUUCUAUUCUUCCAGUAGCGGCUUCCAUGGCCACCCAGCCACCAGCGGUGGUGCUUUCUCCGGAAGGAACGUGCUGGAACGUAGCACGGUCAGAGUUUGCGAUGUUGGUGUAUACUCGAUGGUUGUCAGUGGCGGCUCCCCAGAUCGCUCCACCUACAGAGCCACCAGGUCCGGCAGUCUUCACAAAACAGGGAAAACAAACGCAAGGUGACCAAGAAGAACAGGCUAGAUAUCAACAGGAGCUUGAGUUACCGUUUCCCAGACAAGGCUGCCGUCGUCUCGAUCGUGAGCCCAGACAAUGCCGCUCUUCUGACCGGUGACGACGAUAUCUUGAAACUUGUUCUUGGAGUAGCGGCUUGGGAUCGUGAGCAACAUCGGUGACUCUCCAAAGUCGUAGUCCAGCCCAGGCUCAGGCGCUGGUGGUGGAUUUGUGUCACAAGCAAGCCUCUAUACGUCGUUUCCUCCGAGCCUGUUACACCAGAGUAUCUCACCGUCGGCCAUACAACAGCGUCGUCGCAGACGCUGGGAGGAUAGCAGUCGCUCGAGUUGGCGUUUCUGUUGAGGCAGUCCUGGACGUCGCAGAGGUUCCCAGUGCCAAUGAAGACGAGUCCUCACUGGGGAUCGACGGAAGGACUGCUUCCCCAAACUGUAACGCCGUAGAACCGGAAUUUUCAGGAGCCAUGUAAGUUCUCCAUAUUCGUUUUCCAUUUUUGAGGUCUAGUUUCUGAAAGCUUCCCUGGAAUGUGCAGCAGGUUGCCUCCACAAGCUCUUGGCGCGAAGAGAUACCAACGUAGAAAGCUCUGCCAGAAUUAUAGGUACUCAAGAGCAGAGAAAAAGAAAAGAAAGGAAGUUUGCUUACCCGUCGUAUGCUGUUCCUGACAUGGUGAUCCUUGCCCGGGCCGUUUCAUCCAGAUCUUCCGACAUCCACACCAGUCUUCCACUCUUACGUUCUAAAGCAACAACUCUAGCGGAACCGAGCAAACCAUAUAGCAAGAGGUCCUCGGUCACAGCAGGUGUCGUCCGCGACAAAGUGGC
rnacentral:lncRNA from 1 species